AUUGAACGCUGGCGGCAGGCCUAACACAUGCCAGUCGAACGGUAACAGGAAGCAGCUUGCUGCUUCGCUGACGAGUGGCGGACGGGUGAGUAAUGUCUGGGAAGCUGCCUGAUGGAGGGGGAUAACUACUGGAAACGGUAGCUAAUACCGCAUAAUGUCGCAAGACCAAAGAGGGGGACCUUCGGGCCUCUUGCCAUCGGAUGUGCCCAGAUGGGAUUAGCUUGUUGGUGGGGUAACGGCUCACCAAGGCGACGAUCCCUAGCUGGUCUGAGAGGAUGACCAGCCACACUGGAACUGAGACACGGUCCAGAAUCCUAAGGGAGGCAGCAGUGGGGAAUAUUGCACAAUGGGGGGAAGCCUGAAGGAGCCAUGCCGCGUGUAUGAAGGAGGCCUUCGGGUUGUAAAGUACUUUCAGCGGGGAGGAAGGGAGUAAAGUUAAUACCUUUGCUCAUUGACGUUACCCGCAGAAGAAGCACCGGCUAACUCCGUG
rnacentral:rRNA from 1 species